rnacentral:rRNA from 1 species
ACGACGCUGGCGGCGUGCCUAAUACAUGCAAGUCGAACGGUCUUUCUAUGGAAGCUUGCUUCCACUGAGAAGAUAGUGGCGAACGGGUGAGUAACACGUGGGUAACCUGCCCAUAAGAGGGGGAUAACAUCCGGAAACGGGUGCUAAUACCGCAUAGUUUUCUUGAUCGCAUGAUCGGGAAAGGAAAGACGGCCUUUGUGCUGUCGCUUAUGGAUGGACCCGCGGCGUAUUAGUUAGUUGGUGAGGUAACGGCUCACCAAGACGAUGAUACAUAGCCGACCUGAGAGGGUGAUCGGCCACAUUGGGACUGAGACACGGCCCAAACUCCUACGGGAGGCAGCAGUAGGGAAUCUUCCGCAAUGGACGAAAGUCUGACGGAGCAACGCCGCGUGAGUGAAGAAAGGUUUUCGGAUCGUAAAACUCUGUUGUCAGAGAAGAACAAGUUGGAGAGUAACUGCUCCAGCCUUGACGGUAUCUGACCAGAAAGCCACGGCUAACUACGUGCCAGCCGCGGC